rnacentral:tRNA from 1 species
GAAAGGUUCACAAGAACUGCUAACUCCUACUACUGAUGCUAAUCCACCAGACCUUUCA